CAGUAGCCGCGGUAAAACGAAGGGGGCUAGCGUUGUUCGGAAUUACUGGGCGUAAAGGGCGCGUAGGCGGCCAUUCAAGUUAGAUGUGAAAGCCCUGGGCUCAACCUAGGAAUUGCAUUUGAUACUGUUUGGCUUGAGUCCGGAAGAGGCAAGUGGAAUUCCUGGUGUAGCGGUGAAAUGCGUUGAGAUCGGAAAGAACACCAACGGCGAAAGCACUCUGCUGGGCCGACACUGACACUGAGAGACGAAAGCUAGGGGAGCAAAUGGGAUUAGAGACCCCCGUAGUCCCUGUCUCUUAUAC
rnacentral:rRNA from 1 species